GGGGGUCGGGGUGGGGCUAGGAAGCUGAAGACAUAAGCAGAACCAAUCCUGUGGAGCAGUUUGGACACUAAAGGCAACAGGAAGCCUUUGAAGUGUUUUCAGAUCUGUGCUUUAGAAAGAUCUCUUCCUGGCACCGUGACUGGAUUGGAUGCAAGGCUGGAGAGAAUGGUGCAGGUUUAAAGCUAUGUGAUAAUCCAGGAGAAAGAGAAGGGUGGAUUUGUGUUUGGGUAAAGGGACUGUGGGUAGUUUUUCUUUUGUUUUUUUCUU
rnacentral:lncRNA from 1 species